rnacentral:lncRNA from 1 species
CCCCACUGUCCUCUGGACUACCAGGUUCUGUCCCAGAGGGUAGAGCUUCUGCCUCCCAUUUAGCCUGUAGACAUAAAUAGUCACGCUGAGUAAGUGCUUACAGAUCUGCUCUGGGGUUUCUUUGUAACCAUUUAAAACUAGCACGUUUUCACCAAUAAACAGGAUUCUUACUAGGAAUUUUAGAUACACAGCUACUUUCCUAUACAAACUGAGCUGGGCUUUACAAAGCCUUUGUUCCUAUCUACCUCCCUUCCUCCCUUCUUCCUCCUUCUCUUCUGUCUGCUUGCGUUGUCAUCAUUCAGCCUCCCCCGCCCGCCCCUUUCUUUCUUCUGACAGGGCCUCACUGGCUGGCCUUGAACUUUGCAUUCAAGAUCUUUCCUCUUGUGGAUUGGGGUCUCAGCUAUGUGCUGGUAUACCAUACCUGCGGGAACUUUCCUUAUUGGUUCAAAGUAUACAAUUUACGAAGGGAGGAGGGAUUUUUAUUAGCUGUAUUUAUUUCACUUAUGUACAUGAAUAUUUUGCCUAUGUGCAUGUAUGUGUACCAUAUACAAGCCUGUUGAAACCCUAGAUGGUUGUGAGCUACGGUGUGGAUGCAGGAAAUUGAACCUGGGUCCUCUGGGAGAGCAACGGUGCUCUUUACAGCUGGGUUGUCUCCCCAGUCCAAGAAUUAUUUUUGGAAAAUAAUUAUUCAUGAACUCAGUGUGCUAUUUUUUGUAAUACAAUAGUUGAGUACUACCAUAAAAAAUUGCUCUGAUUGUUGGUAGCUAGACAAUAGU